GUGCUCACUUCAGCAGCAUAUAUACUAAAAUGGGAAGGAUACAGAGAGGAUUAGCAUGGCCCUUGAGCAAGGAUGAUACAAGUUAGAACUCUUCGUUGAAUAA